rnacentral:rRNA from 1 species
UGGGGAAUAUUGCACAAUGGGCGCAAGCCUGAUGCAGCCAUGCCGCGUGUGUGAAGAAGGCCUUCGGGUUGUAAAGCACUUUCAGCGGGGAGGAAGGCGGUGAGGUUAAUAACCUCAUCGAUUGACGUUACCCGCAGAAGAAGCACCGGCUAACUCCGUGCCAGCAGCCGCGGUAAUACGGAGGGUGCAAGCGUUAAUCGGAAUUACUGGGCGUAAAGCGCACGCAGGCGGUCUGUCAAGUCGGAUGUGAAAUCCCCGGGCUCAACCUGGGAACUGCAUUCGAAACUGGCAGGCUAGAGUCUUGUAGAGGGGGGUAGAAUGCCAGGUGUAGCGGUGAAAUGCGUAGAGAUCUGGAGGAAUACCGGUGGCGAAGGCGGCCCCCUGGACAAAGACUGACGCUCAGGUGCGAAAGCGUGGGGAGCAAACAGG